UACGUAGGGCGCAAGCGUUGUCCGGAAUUAUUGGGCGUAAAGAGCUCGUAGGCGGCCUGUUACGUCUGCUGUGAAAGUCCAGGGCUCAACCCUGGAAAGCCGGUGGAAACUGUCGAGCUCGAGUCCGGAAGAGGCGAGUGGAAUUCCUGGUGUAGCGGUGAAAUGCGCAGAUAUCAGGAGGAACACCAAUGGCGAAGGCAGCUCGCUGGGACGGUACUGACACUGAGACGCGAAAGCGUGGGGAGCAAACAGG
rnacentral:rRNA from 1 species